rnacentral:tRNA from 1 species
CAGGGGGUGGUCUAGGAUUAUGAUCUCAGUUUUGGGAGUUGAGGAUAGAAGUUAAAGUCUUCUCCCCCUGA